CCUUGCUUCUCUGCUGAGGGCGCGGGCUCCGAGCCGCCUGUUAGGGCAAACGCUGGUGCUCCUCUUCAGUUACCUUCGUUUUAUCAUUAAUGCUUUUUUCCUUUUAAAAACUUAUUCGUAUCUGUAUCUGUGAGUGCUUUCUAUGACCUGGGAAUCCUUUGCUCCUUUUCAGGUCCCCUUCCCUGUCCCCCGACGCAUGUCCGUGGCAGGGGGAGGCUUAGGUUUCCCGCUCUCUCCCGAGGCUGUGCUGCAAAACCCAUAUGCUGCGGCUCUGCUGCCCGUCCCCUCUCCUCCUCUCACUCUUGGCCCCUCUUUUCUGAUUAGACCAAGCAGGAGUGCCUCCUGUGAGUGAGUCAAAUCCUCAUGGCUGGGGAAAAGCAUAAGGAAGGAACUUUCCUACACUUGUAGCACCUCAGAUGCUCAACAGCAGAGAAAACUCCAGCUCAGCUGGUUAAAUGAGAGAAGUCCACCGGAAGAGCAGCCGCUGGCCCAGGAUGGUCAGCCUCCAGCUGCAUUCCCCCCACUCGGGGUCCCCACCUUGUGAUUCUUGUUGCAUACCAGCUUUCCUCAUGGUGGCAACAUCCGUAGGAGGUCCAGAAGCAGGAGAAGGGCUACCUCUUGCUUGUCUCUAGGAAUAGGAGACAGAUGCCUUUCCCACCUCUCUUCAGGUCCCAACUGGUCAGAAUAUGUCAUGUGCUCAUGAUUCCGCCUACCAUGGGGGGGGGGGGGAGAUGGGACCACUGUGGUCGGUUGACACCUGGAGCUUGGGGCUGGGGGUAGCAUCCUCUGAACACAUGAGCAUCCAGAGGGUGAGGGGCAACAGCCUCAUCAGGACUCCAUGCUGAAGGGAGAGGGGAUGGGUGCUACGGACAGGCCACAUCAAAAGCUGUGGUGUCAGGGUUCCUGGAAGGUCUGGGAGGGGCCCAGUGGGCACCUGAAGCCAGAGUCAGAAAUGCCCAAUGUGCUUCCCCUCCCAGGGCAUGGGGUCUGCACUCGCACCCACACCAGGCCGUAGGUGCCGCGUGGAAACACCACUGACUGGCUUGUUCCACCUGCUGGGUGGCUCCAAAGCCACCUCCAGAUAAAUGGUUCCUAGUCACAUCACUUACGCCACCUCGUCUGAGACGUGCUCAUCAGCCCACCUGUGAUGCUGAGGCUCAGGUCUGGGAAGGAUGCUCUUCCCUCUAGGAAACUCAGUGGCUAGAAAAGUCUUGAAAUUAAGCCUAUUUCAACCCGGCACACAUAUGUCCCACGGAUCCCAGUGUAGCUGGGGCGCAGAAGAAUCAAGGUGUUGUUGUCGUAAGAAUGUACCGUCAGGGCUGGGGCUGGGACUCAGCAGUGGAGCGCUCGACUAGCACAUCUGAGGCGCUGGGUUCGAUCCUCAGCGUCACAUAAAAAUAAAUAAAUAAAUAAAAAUAAAGGUAUGGCGUCCAACUUAAAAAAAAAGAAGAAGAAGAAUGAACUGUCAGCCUCAGAAUCCAUUCUUCAAUGCUCUGUGGAGUCAAUACCAAGAAUGAAACACACAACUUUAACAUCCCACCCUGUAAACUGAAACCACUAUUUGUUCACAAAUGUCAGGAAGAACAACACUAAAUAACAUUAAGGACCACCGACAGCAAGAGGUGGGGGAGCCAGAAACACAGGGCGGCAAACAGGGAAGAUGCCAUGCUCCAGGCCAUGGCAGAACAUAGCAGGAUGUCACUACCAGGGGUCCCAGAGCCACAGCAGCCAAGAAGCCAACCCCAAUCAAACUCUCCAGGACUGUGGGUCUGGAUUGAGAGGACAGGUCUCUCCCUUCACCCUGCUCUGGACCUGUCCCAGGCUGGCACAUGCACACAACACAUGGCAGGACCUGUCACUCAUCACGCAUCUGCACUGGGUUCAGAAUCAGGCCGACAGGAGAAGGAGAGGGGCUACCUCUUGCUUGUCUCUAGGAAUAGGAGACAAGAUGCCUUUCCCACCUCUCUUCAGGUCCCAACUGGUCAGAAUACGUCAUGUGCUCAUGAUUCUGCCUACCAUGGGGGAGGAGAUGGGACCACUGUGGUUGGUUGACACCUGGAGCUUGGGGCUGGGGGCAGCAUCCUCUGAACACAUGACCAUCCAGAGGGUCUACCAAACCAUGCUUGCUAGACACUUUCAGGACUUUCUUUCCUCCAUCUCCACUGUGCCUCCAUCACUGGACAGAAUUAGCUGGCUGCUCAUUCCCGGUACUAAAAAUAGUCACCUUUUCUGGUGGCCAUGUGGAAGUCACCCAAGCUGAGGGCGGUGUUGCCGUGAACUCCCAUGCUCCUCCCCACCCCACCCUGGAUCAUCUGUACUGGUUUUCGAUUUUUUAAAACUUGAAAAUGUAAAUAAUUUUAGUAAGAACAAAUGCUUUGAGAUCAUCCUCUUCUUCCCAAGUUGAUCAUAAUACCAAGUUGUCGUCCAAAGGACCUGCUUGUCCUUCGAGUACGACAAAGCCUGAGUUAUACUCUGGGCCUGGAAGGAGGAGCACGUGACAGACUUCAUCGGGAAUCAUGGCCAGGUCUGGGCAGAGCAGGCCUCGUGCCUUCUGAAGGCAACAGGGUCAGUCACGUGGAGCCAGGCACUGCUGAAAAGCAGCAGCGAGGGAUGCAAGACAGAUGGCCCAGGUAGACCCACAGCCAUCAGCAGGCCUGCCAUCUUGCCUGGCUCAUGUCUAGCCUCCACUUCUCACCACAGGGAAAGUGGUCAAUAAGUUGUUUCCCUUCUCCUCCCCUUGCAGCGGUGAGGGAGGGGCAGGGUGUUAGCCCAUUCAAUGACAUUGCCAAUUAUAAUACCCCGAGGCAGGGUCUUUCUGGGUCUACUGCUGAGCCCCACAAGAAUAAUGGCCAAUUGUCUCAGUUUUGUUUUGUUCUUGGUUUAUUAUUGUCAUUAUAUCAUCCUUAAAGAAAGAGGAUCAAUAAAACACCAUAUACCUGAGGGACAAUAAAACACCAUAUACCCCUCUCCAUCUCCAAAACCCAAGUUAAGGGGACACUGAGAGCAGGCCUGGGCCAGGAUGUCCAGACACCAUCUUGAAGGACGCUGGCCUUCCCUCAUGCACACUGGGAACCAGGGCGAGCCAGGUUAUCUGUGGAAAGACGCUUCUCGCGUGCACCAGGGCGCUCGCUCCUUGGGACUCUGCUCAGACAAGCUCACAGAGCCAGCUGGUGACGAUGCUGUCCCUGCUUCCGCAGCCUCACCAAAAACCCCUCAGUGCCCACCUGCCCCUCAGUGCAGACCUGGGGCACUGUGGCAAGGUUGCACGUCUCUCACCCAGCUGGCCUCCAUAGACACCACCACCAUGGAGAGGAGGCCUUGCUGGGUGAAGCACCGUGGGGGGCAGAAGUGCUGUCUGUCUCCCUCCACUGGACCUUCCCCAUAACAUUUCUCAAUAAAGCCCUGUGCCUCACGCAUUGUCGAGGAUAGGACUGCUUUGUUUGGUCUCUUGGCAACCUAUCCCACUGCCUUGGCACAACUGGACCAGAUGUGUGACACUUUUUUUUUUCCUUUUCUGUUUUCCCUCGAGGGCUUCCAGCACAUUCUCCAUCACCAUCACCAACACCAACACCUCUUCUCUCCUUGAGUAACCAACUUUAUCAGCUGGGCUUUAUGCUUCCUGCGUUUCUUUCUGUUAUGGUAAAAAGCCUGCAGAGACCUAUCACUUAGAAAACCCUCCACCUUCCUCGUUCUUCUAAGUGCCUGAGCCCAGUGUACUCAGCCUUUCUAACAGACAUCUUGUUUCUAGUCUUUUGCUAACUCGGAAAACCCUGGGGGAACUCUGGGCCCGGCUGUCGGACAUCUGUGGAAGUGGGUUUUGGGAGAGGGCUCCUCCUGAAAUUGCCACCCUUCCCAAGUCGUCCGGCGUGUCUGACGCUAACUGCAACCUGCUGGCUCUGCAAUGGAGUGCUUCGUGCUUUGCAGCAGCAGCAGGACCAGCGCUGCCUGAAGAGGGGGAGAAGUCAAGGUCAUGUGCCUGAGGAAGCCUUGAACCCUGGAGUCUGUAGGGCGUAAAAGACACCGAGGGCCAAGGGGGGAAGUGGACUCGGACUCGCUGAGCCUGCCUGGUGCUCUGCUUGUCUCCAAGGCCGCUUCUUGCCAGUGCCAGACUUUCCUGGGUUUUUCCGGUUUUUCAGUAACACAGGAGUUUGCCAGGUCAAAGUUGUUGAGGGCCACAGCGGAGUCGGGAUGAUGCAUGGCAUUUUUGCCAGAAGUAGUGGUUGAGAGGUGAGGCCAGCAAGCCAUUAAGAUGACGACUUUUGAGUUCUGGGGGGGGGGGGGGAAUGAUUCCUGAAGAGUUCGCAUUGGUUGGGGAAGUGCUGGAGGAGGGAUUUCCGGUUGGUGGUUCCUGGAGGAGCCGCCUGGCGUUUGGGAGAGUUCCCGGGAGCGUGUGUGUGGAGUGUGCUGGUGGAGUUCAGAAAUAAAGUUUGUUCCUGCUUCAGUGGCUCCUGAUUUGUGCCCAGCCAGACUGUGGCAGUCUCCAAGGCCGCUUCUUCCCAGUGCCAGGCUUUCCCGGGUUUUUCAGGUUUUCAGUAAAACAGGGGUUUGCAAGGUCAAAGGUCCCUCUGUGGGACUGCACCUAUUUCUGCACCUUCCUUAACAGGAAAUGUCAAACUAGGACCUUUGCCUCUGACGGCCAGGAGCUCGGUGGUUGUCACCUGCCUUCUUCCACUCUGAAGACUGGACGCCCCAUGCCAACGUUCAGGGGCCUUGUGCUCCCCUACCCAGACCCGCUGUAAAACCGCCUGCUUUAGGGGACGACCCACUUUAGCUUUUCCCAGAAAGGCCCUUUCUGGAUUGUCCAGCCGUCGCUGGGGCCAGCACCUACUCCUGCACGGCGGAGGGACGCCGCACUAGGGAGACACCGGUCCACUCCGGGAAAGGCUGCCCAGUCGGGCCUUCCUGGGGCCACCACGCCAGUUGUGACACCGGCUCGUGGUGACCACGCGGACCCGCGCGGCGCCCGCCCUCGGAGAGACCGG
rnacentral:lncRNA from 1 species